UACAGAGGGGGCAAGCGUUGUUCGGAAUUACUGGGCGUAAAGGGCGCGUAGGCGGCCUACUAAGUCGGACGUGAAAUCCCUCGGCUCAACCGGGGAACUGCGUCCGAUACUGGCAGGCUUGAAUCCGGGAGAGGGAUGUGGAAUUCCAGGUGUAGCGGUGAAAUGCGUAGAUAUCUGGAGGAACACCGGUGGCGAAGGCGGCAUCCUGGACCGGUAUUGACGCUGAGGCGCGAAAGCCAGGGGAGCAAACGGGG
rnacentral:rRNA from 1 species